UAAUAAGCUGUUUUAUGGCAGCUUUUUAAAUCCAUAUCCACCUUGUGUGCAAUGUCGAGUCGAUCUUCUUCUAUUGGAGGAAUCGACCAAACAUCAACCUUUAUCUUUUAACUCUUUGUCCUGAAAAAUAUUAUGAAUAAACAAUUCAAAAUA
rnacentral:misc_RNA from 1 species